rnacentral:rRNA from 1 species
GACAGAGGAUGCAAGCGUUAUCCGGAAUGAUUGGGCGUAAAGCGUCUGUAGGUGGCUUUUAAGUCCGCCGUCAAAUCCCAGGGCUCAACCCUGGACAGGCGGUGGAAACUACCAAGCUGGAGUACGGUAGGGGCAGAGGGAAUUUCCGGUGGAGCGGUGAAAGUGCGGUAGAGAUCGGAAAGAACACCAACGGCGAAAGCACUCUCGCUGGGCCGACACUGACACUGAGAGACGAAAGCUAGGGGAGCGAAUGG